AUUGAACGCUGGCGGCAGGCUUAACACAUGCAAGUCGAGCGGGGUGAUGGUGCUUGCACUAUCACUUAGCGGCGGACGGGUGAGUAAUGCUUAGGAAUCUGCCUAUUAGUGGGGGACAACAUCUCGAAAGGGAUGCUAAUACCGCAUACGUCCUACGGGAGAAAGCAGGGGAUCACUUGUGACCUUGCGCUAAUAGAUGAGCCUAAGUCGGAUUAGCUAGUUGGGGGGGUAAAGGCCUACCAAGGCGACGAUCUGUAGCGGGUCUGAGAGGAUGAUCCGCCACACUGGGACUGAGACACGUCCCAGACUCCUACGGGAGGCAGAAGUGGGGAAUAUUGGACAAUGGGGGGAACCCUGAUGCAGCCAUGCCGCGUGUGUGAAGAAGGCCUUAUGGUUGUAAAGCACUUUAAGCGAGGAGGAGGCUCUUUUGGUUAAUACCCAAGAUGAGUGGACGUUACUCGCAGAAUAAGCACCGGCUAACUCUGUGCCAGCAGCCGCGGUAAUAC
rnacentral:rRNA from 1 species